rnacentral:rRNA from 1 species
UACGUAGGAGGCAAGCGUUGUCCGGAAUCACUGGGCGUAAAGGGCGCGUAGGCGGCCUGAUAAGUAGGGGGUGAAAUCCUGCGGCUUAACCGCAGGGCUGCCUUCUAAACUGUCAGGCUAGAGCACAGUAGAGGCAGGUGGAAUUCCCGGUGUAGCGGUGGAAUGCGUAGAGAUCGGGAAGAACAUCAGUGGCGAAGGCGGCCUGCUGGGCUGUUGCUGACGCUGAGGCGCGACAGCGUGGGGAGCAAACAGG